UGUUAAGCACAGUGCGCGACCGCUGCGCUUCAGAUCCAAAAAAAAUCCGAGUUUUUUUCGUUUCCGAACGGAAAAUUGAUGGUUUUUGCAAAAUGGAGAUUCCAUUUUACCGUUUUUUCGUAUUUUCGCGAUCGGUAGGGCGUUUUUUGAGACACAAAAGGCGAUUUUCUAAAUGAGGAAAUUUCUGACGUUUACUGUCAAGUUAACUUCACUCUGGGAAGCGUCUACUAACAAUCUCGACUGGGUUUGUUUACAUCCAAGUAAUUAGUGGACGGUUAUUUCAAAUAUUUUUCGGUGUUUUUCCAUCAUUUUACCCACUUUGUCACAAUGGAAAUGCAUCGACUAAAUUCAGAGUUGCCAAUUAAUGCAGAUCCUAAAAACGCCCAAUAUAUCAAUGAUGCUGUCAAAGCAGGCCUCAAACUUGGAUGGAUUGAAGGAAAGGGGAUUUUUUCCUCUAUCCCUUAAGACCAAAAUCCUUCCGAUCCUUCACGGAUAAUUUGGUGGAUUCCUGAUGUGGGUAUUGUUGGACUUUAGUCAAGGGGUAUCAAGGAAAAGACGUGAAACUGAUCUUACAUAAAUUGUUAAACAGUGUAUAAAUAAUAAAAUACGAUUUAUGCAGUUCAA